AACUUCUGACCUCAGGUGAUCCGCCUACCUUGGUCUCCCAAAGUGCUGGGAUUACAGGCGUGAGCCACCGUGCCCAGCCUCUCUCAGUUUUUUAUCUUGUGCAGUGGGGAGCCCAGGUUCAGUCUAUUCUUAAAUCCAAUACAUAACUAAAACUUUGGAGAAAAUAUGUGAGGUGGGUUAAUCCUGAAGUUUUUAUGAAGAAACACAACUCUCUGAAACAAAGUCAAUCUUCCAUGCUAUUGGUACAAGUGGAUCUCGUUUCCCUGCCUGGACCUUGCAUCUGCGCACGCUUCUUAGUCAUUAAUUAAGCACAAGGGUUCUGGAAACAGAUUUCUAUCUUGGCCUGCCCCUUGCUAGUUACUUGACCUUGUGACAAUUAACAUUGUGCCUCAAUUUCCUCAUGUAAAUGUGGGAAACAAAACCAAUACUUAGCCUUUCUCACAUAAUUACGAGGUUUAGCUCACGUAAUCCAGCGUUACUCAAAGUUGAGGUUUCCUGGAAGGGAAAAAUUACUUAUACUGUUUUUAAUACAUCAGCUAAUUAAAAUGUGAGAAUCAAAACCAAUGCAGAGCUUUCCUCACAUAAAUACGAGGUUUACCUCACGUAAUUCAACGUUUCUCAAAGUUGAGGCUUCCUUGAAGGGAAAAAAAUUACUUACACUGUUUUUAAUAUAUCAGCUAAUUAAAAUCAUAUGCAGCAUUAGGUUAAAAUCUAUAUGUGAAGGACUCUGGCACUUAUGUAAUCAUUUUCAGAGUAUCCGGCAAGAUGGCAGAGGUAGAGCAGAAGAAGUGGACCUUCUGCAAGUUCACCUACCGUGGUGUGGACCUGGGCCAGCUGCUGGACAUGUCCUGCGAGUAGCUGAGGCAGCUGUACGGUGCACGCCAGGUGCGGCGGCAGAACGCCGGCCUGCGGCGGAACGCUGAGGCGCAAGCAACACUGGCUGCUGAGGCGCAUGUGCUAGGCCAAGAAGGAGGCUCCGCCCAUGGAGAAGCCGGAAGUACUGAAAACACACCUGCGGGACAUGAUCAUCCCGCCCAAGAUGGUGGGCAGCAGGGUGGGCGUCUACAACGGCAAGACCUUCAACCAGGUAGCGAUCAAGCCGGAGAUGAUCAGCCACUACCUGGGCGAGUUCUCCAUCACCUACAAGCCCAUGAAGCACUGCUGGCCUGGCAUCGGGGCCACCCACUCCUCCCGCUUCAUCCCCCUCAAGUAGUGGCUCCGCUAAUAAAGGCACACAUAUCUCC